AUUGAACGCUGGCGGCAGGCCUAACACAUGCAAGUCGAGCGGAUGACGGGAGCUUGCUCCUUGAUUCAGCGGCGGACGGGUGAGUAGUACCGAGGAAUCUGCUUGAUAGUGGGGGACAACGUUGCGAAAGGAACGCUAGUACGGCAUACGUCGGACGGCAGCAAGAAGGGGCACGUCGGGCCGUGCGCUAUCAGUUGAGACUAGGUCGGAUUAGCUAGUUGGUGAGGUAAUGGAUCACCAAGGCGACGAUCCGUAACUGGUCUGAGAGGAUGAUCAGUCACACUGGAACUGAGACGCGGUCCAGACUCCUACGGGAGGGAGCAGUGGGGAAUAUUGGACAAUGGGCGAAAGCAUGAUCCAGCCAUGCCGCGUGUGUGAAGAAGGUCUUCGGAUUGUAAAGCACUUUAAGUUGGGAGGAAGGGCAGUAAGCUAAUACCUUGCUGUUUUGACGUUACCGACAGAAUAAGCACCGGCUAACUCUGUGCCAGCCGCCGCGGUAACAC
rnacentral:rRNA from 1 species